GUGCCUGUAGCUCAGUGGAUAGAGCGCUGGUCUCCGGAACCAGAGGUCGCGAGUUCGACUCUCGCCAGGCACGCCA
rnacentral:tRNA from 1 species